rnacentral:piRNA from 1 species
UGACAAAUCAGGAAGUUCAAUAAUGAGA